AGUGAACGCUGGCGGUAGGCCUAACACAUGCAAGUCGAACGGCAGCACAGUAAGAGCUUGCUCUUACGGGUGGCGAGUGGCGGACGGGUGAGGAAUACAUCGGAAUCUACUUUUUCGGGGGGGAUAACGUAGGGAAACUUACGCUAAUACCGCAUACGACCUACGGGGGAAAGCAGGGGAUCUUCGGACCUUGCGCGAUUGAAUGAGCCGAUGUCGGAUUAGCUAGUUGGCGGGGUAAAGGCCCACCAAGGCGACGAUCCGUAGCUGGUCUGAGAGGAUGAUCAGCCACACUGGAACUGAGACACGGUCCAGACUCCUACGGGAGGCAGCAGUGGGGAAUAUUGGACAAUGGGCGCAAGCCUGAUCCAGCCAUACCGCGUGAGUGAAGAAGGCCUUCGGGUUGUAAAGCCCUUUUGUUGGGAAAGAAAAGCAGCAGGUUAAUACCCCGCUGUUCUGACGGUACCCAAAGAAUAAGCACCGGCUAACUUCGUG
rnacentral:rRNA from 1 species